AUGUCUGAUCUCGACGUCCAGGUUCCAACUGCUUUUGAUCCGUUUGCUGAGGCAAAUGCUGAGGACUCCGGCGCUGGUGCUGGAUCAAAGAACUAUGUGCAUGUGCGUGUCCAGCAGCGCAACGGAAGAAAGAGUCUGACAACUGUUCAGGGUCUGAAGAAAGACUACAGCUACAACAAGAUUCUCAAGGAUCUCAAAAAGGAAUUCUGCUGUAAUGGUACUGUAGUCCAGGAUCCAGAACUAGGCCAGGUCAUCCAACUCCAAGGUGAUCAGCGUAAAAAUGUUGCUACUUUUCUAGUUCAGGCUGGACUUGCAAAGAAAGAGAGCAUCAAGAUUCACGGAUUUUAG
rnacentral:rRNA from 1 species